UGCAGGUCAUGGGCAAGGGCAGUCAAUGACCUUGCGGAUGCUGAUGAACCACAGCUAUAAAGAACUCAGAGACAAGAGUUUGUGUCCCUGGAUUGGCAGAUUCUGAAGGAGGUUCAAAGAGGAGAGGGUCUGGAAGCCCAGCACGCGGUCAGCUAAAUCUUCCUAAUACCAACACCACCUGAUAUCAGAGGAUGUGUGACUGCAACGAAGUCAGAAAGGAAAGAGACAGUGGUCUUAACUGAUGAUGGUUCAUACACCCUUCUUUUGCAAAUUUUGUUCAAAGAAAAGAAAAGAAAAGAAAAGUCUACCACGUGAACCAUCUCUGGGAUUCUUUCCAGGACCUUGAAACCGGCCUGUAUCUCCAUUCCUGUCCCAUCAAGAUUCUUCGGCCCUUAACUCCCUACACUCCUGGGAAGCCUGCCUUGAAGGGAACGGAUGCAGCAUGAGGUGCGCCAGCAGACGGAGAAAGGGGGCCACAUGCAUAGCCUGUAGAAGCUGGAAAAGGCAAGGAAAAAGAUUCUCCCCUAGAGCCUCCGGGAAGCAGCACGGCCCUCUUGACACCUUGAUCUUAGCCCGGGGAGACCUGUGUUGGCCUUCUACCUUUGGGAGCUGUAAAAUAAUAAAUCUGCAUUGUUUCAAGCUA